UCCUUGAGGGGACUGAGGUGCGGAGACGCACAGAUCAUUGAUCCUCCGCUUCCCACGUCUCCUCAGGA
ensembl:miRNA